AGCCGACAAUCUUCAUGGGAGAAACAGCAGAAGCUGGGAGGGGGAGUGUGUGAAUCUUUGGGGAAGGGUGAAGAACUGAAAUAUGCAACUUAAAACUAAUGAGCAUAUGAAAAAAAAAAUCCCAGGGAAGGAUAACUCGCUUGGGAAGCUGGUCACUAGAAGACAUUAAAGCUGAGGAGCCUUGAUCACAAAGAAGAUGGAAGAAUGUGAAUUGAGAAGAUACAAUAAAUUUCAUUAACAUCAAAAAUGGAAUUAUUUAUACAAGUUUUUUGAUGAAGCUGUAAAUAAUUCUCACACUGCAUUGGAUUUAUCCAUUCUACACUUGAUGAAUAUUUGAAAAUUCUCCAGGUGCGUGUAUGAAAGAAAGAGAUUACAAACAGUGCUGUUAAGAACAUUCUUAUACUUGCCUUCUGGUACAUGUGAAAGAGCUUCUCUGGAUACCUAGAGUGAAAUUGCUGGGUUAUGGCAAAUUUACCAGAUAAUGACCAAUUAUUUUCCAGAUAUUGUUGUGGUUUGAUGACAUACUCUUUUACUGAAUUAUAAUAUAUGUUGUAUCUGUCUAUCUGUCUGUAAUUGUAUAUUAUUCUUUUUAACAUAUAUUGCUUUUCUGAAAAUAUUUUUAUGCUAGAAAUUUAAAUAACAGUAUUAGUACUGCUUUUUCAAAGACCCAAGAAUUGUGAAAGAUGUGGUUGAUUGGGAAUUUUUGUUAUU